rnacentral:rRNA from 1 species
AACGCGAAGAACCUUACCAGCCCUUGACAUCCCGGUCGCGGGAACGAGAGAUCGAUCCCUUCAGUUCGGCUGGACCGGAGACAGGUGCUGCAUGGCUGUCGUCAGCUCGUGUCGUGAGAUGUUGGGUUAAGUCCCGCAACGAGCGCAACCCUCGCCCUUAGUUGCCAUCAUUCAGUUGGGCUCUCUAAGGGGACUGCCGGUGAUAAGCCGCGAGGAAGGUGGGGAUGACGUCAAGUCCUCAUGGCCCUUACGGGCUGGGCUACACACGUGCUACAAUGGCGGUGACAGUGGGAUGCAAUGGGGUAACCCUGCGCAAAUCUCAAAAAGCCGUCUCAGUUCGGAUUGUGCUCUGCAACUCGAGCACAUGAAGUUGGAAUCGCUAGUAAUCGCAGAUCAGCACGCUGCGGUGAAUACGUUCCCGGGCCUUGUACACACCGUAGUAC